rnacentral:rRNA from 1 species
UACGAAGGGGGCGAGCGUUGUUCGGAUUUACUGGGCGUAAAGGGCGCGCAGGCGGCUCAUUUUGUCAGGCGUGAAAGCCCCGGGCUUAACCUGGGACUGCGUUUGAUACGGAUGGGCUAGAGUUCGGGAGAGGAGAGUGGAAUUCCCAGUGUAGAGGUGAAAUUCGUAGAUAUUGGGAAGAACACCGGUGGCGAAGGCGGCUCUCUGGACCGGAUACUGACGCUGAGGAGGCGAAAGCGUGGGGAGCGAACAGG